GGAGAGGUGGCCGAGUUGGCUGAAGGCAGCUGCCUGCUAAGCAGUUGUGCCGGAAACGGCACCCCGGGUUCGAAUCCCGGCCUCUCCG
rnacentral:tRNA from 1 species